rnacentral:rRNA from 1 species
GAGUUUGAUCCUGGCUCAGGAUGAACGCUGGCGGCGUGCCUAAUACAUGCAAGUCGAGCGGGGUUCUUCGGAACCUAGCGGCGGACGGGUGAGUAACACGUGGGUAACCUGCCUGUAAGACCAGGAUAACUUCGGGAAACCGAAGCUAAUACCGGAUAGUUUCGAGCAUCGCAUGAUGCUUGAUGGAAAGACGGUUUCGGCUGUCACUUACAGAUGGACCCGCGUCGCAUUAGCUAGUUGGUGAGGUAAUGGCUCACCAAGGCGACGAUGCGUAGCCGACCUGAGAGGGUGAUCGGCCACACUGGGACUGAGACACGGCCCAGACUCCUACGGGAGGCAGCAGUAGGGAAUCUUCGGCAAUGGGCGAAAGCCUGACCGAGCAACGCCGCGUGAGCGAUGAAGGCCUUCGGGUCGUAAAGCUCUGUUGUUAAGGAAGAACAAGUACGAGAGUAACUGCUCGUACCUUGACGGUACUUAACGAGAAAGCCACGGCUAACUACGUGCCAGCACCCGCGGUAAUACGUAGGUGGCGAGCGUUAUCCGGAAUUAUUGGGCGUAAAGCGCGCGCAGGCGGUUUCUUAAGUCUGAUGUGAAAGCCCACGGCUCAACCGUGGAGGGUCAUUGGAAACUGGGAAACUUGAGUGCAGAAGAGGAAAGCGGAAUUCCACGUGUAGCGGUGAAAUGCGUAGAGAUGUGGAGGAACACCAGUGGCGAAGGCGGCUUUCUGGUCUGUAACUGACGCUGAGGCGCGAAAGCGUGAGGAGCAAACAGGAUUAGAUACCCUGGUAGUCCACGCCGUAUACGAUGAGUGCUAAGUGUUA